rnacentral:rRNA from 1 species
UACGUAGGGAGCAAGCGUUGUCCGGAAUCAUUGGGCGUAAAGCGCGCGUAGGCGGCCCCGUAAGUCCGCUGUGAAAGUCAAAGGCUCAACCUUUGAAAGCCGGUGGAUACUGUGGGGCUAGAGUCCGGAAGAGGCGAGUGGAAUUCCUGGUGUAGCGGUGGAAUGCGCAGAUAUCAGGAGGAACACCAAUAGCGAAGGCAGCUCGCUGGACGGUACUGACGCUAAGGCGCGAAAGCGUGGGGAGCGAACAGG